rnacentral:ncRNA from 1 species
AGAGCGGCUUCCUGUCAUAAGGCAGCGCUUCAGCGAAAGCUGUUGUGUAAAAUCGGGCUAAUUCGGGGAAACCCUCCUUAGUUCUAUGAAGGGUAAUCCCGAGCUAAAUCCACCGAAGAGGCGGAAAAUGUGUAGAGACUAUAUACCCGAUCCCGACUUAAUCGGGAAUGAGAUAGUCCAAGCCUUUUGGUAACAGAAGG